CGUGUAGGCGGAUAGGUCAGUCGAGGGUGAAAUCCUACAGCUUAACUGUAGAAUUGCCUUUGAUACUGUUUAUCUUGAGUUCGGGAGAGGGAAGCGGAAUUCCUGGUGUAGCGGUGAAAUGCGUAGAUAUCAGGAAGAACACCGGUAGCGAAGGCAGCUUCCUGGCCCGAUACUGACGCUGAAGCGCGAAAGCGUGGGGAGCAAACA
rnacentral:rRNA from 1 species